UCCCUCCCUCUCCAGAGGGCAGUGGCUGGUUAAUAAGUCACUGCAGGAAAGACUGAAGCCUCCUGGGAGAAGAAGCACAGGACAAAGUAACACCCAGAGAGGAGCAAGUCCAAGAGGUCAGACUCAGUUCUCCCCAUGGCCCUCUCUACAAAACUCCAGGAACCUGUUCGCCCUGUUUCAGUACCCGCCACAGAGUAGUAAAAUGCUGUGUUUCCCUACAGGCAAUAUAGCUGGUACAAUAUAGUAUAUUUGCUUAUAAACACAGAAUUAUGAAAAAAGGGCAAAAGAAGACAAUCAGCAGGAAUUUAACUGUAACUCCCAGCCACAGCCUCCAGCCCACAGUGGCAGAAAGCAUGCUGUCUUUGAUGCUGCAAGUCCCUGAGGGAACAAGGUGCAUGGAAAUCACAGCGCAACUUUCACUACUGCUUCAGCACCAUGCGCUCCAGCACCAGGCGUACCACCAUGCUCCUACCAUGAUAAUACAAUAACCUCAGAAACUGUAAGCAAACCCCAAAAUAAAUG